rnacentral:rRNA from 1 species
UGCGGCGUGCCUAAUACAUGCAAGUCGAACGCACAGCGAAAGGUGCUUGCACCUUUCAAGUGAGUGGCGAACGGGUGAGUAACACGUGGACAACCUGCCUCAAGGCUGGGGAUAACAUUUGGAAACAGAUGCUAAUACCGAAUAAAACUUAGUGUCGCAUGACACAAAGUUAAAAGGCGCUUCGGCGUCACCUAGAGAUGGAUCCGCGGUGCAUUAGUUAGUUGGUGGGGUAAAGGCCUACCAAGACAAUGAUGCAUAGCCGAGUUGAGAGACUGAUCGGCCACAUUGGGACUGAGACACGGCCCAAACUCCUACGGGAGGCUGCAGUAGGGAAUCUUCCACAAUGGGCGAAAGCCUGAUGGAGCAACGCCGCGUGUGUGAUGAAGGCUUUCGGGUCGUAAAGCACUGUUGUAUGGGAAGAACAGCUAGAAUAGGAAAUGAUUUUAGUUUGACGGUACCAUACCAGAAAGGGACGGCUAAAUACGUGCCAGCAGCCGCGGUAAUACGUAUGUCCCGAGCGUUAUCCGGAUUUAUUGGGCGUAAAGCGAGCGCAGACGGUUUAUUAAGUCUGAUGUGAAAGCCCGGAGCUCAACUCCGGAAUGGCAUUGGAAACUGGUUAACUUGAGUGCAGUAGAGGUAAGUGGAACUCCAUGUGUAGCGGUGAAAUGGCGUAGAUA